GAUGAUGAGAUUCCAUUGAUUCAGAGCUAAUUCCAAUAGACUUAUUGGAGGGUCCCAUUGGCGUGCAUCCAUUAGGAAUUGAACCUACGAAUUCGCCAAUUAUGAGUUGGGCGCUUUAACCAUUCAGCCAUGGAUGCUUAGCGGGGAUCCUCGUACAUGGUGAAUAACCAAAUUCCAAUUGAAACGAAAUCUUUAGAAUAAAUCAAUGCAAUUUAGGAGGAAUCAAUGAAAGGACAUCAAUUCAAAUUCUAAUCCUUUGAUUGUGUAUUGAAUAUAGAUCCAUGUCUUUCUUGUUCCAUUAGCUAGGACCAAAUUUUCACAUGCCCGUUUCGUUAUUACAACCUUCUUUUUUGAUGUCAAAGACCAGAAGCUACGCGCAAAUUCUCAUUGGAUCUCGGUUGUUCUUAACAGCGAUGGCUAUUCAUUUAAGUCUUCGGGUAGCACCACUAGAUAUUCAACAAGGUGGAAAUUCUUGUAUUCCGUAUGUACUCUCUCUCUCCCCCUCCAUCUCUCUCCCUCUCUCNCCCCCCCCCCCCCCCCCCCCCCCCUCUCUCUGGAAAUUCUCGUAUUCCGUAUGUACCCUCCCUCCCUCCCUCCCUCACAGCAUCAACACUCUCCCACUCCCUCUUAGUCUUAUUUGUUGGGCCUUUUCAGAGUUCGCUCUCCCACUCCCUCUUUACCUAUAGUCUUCUUGUAAACAUCUCUCUCUCUCUCUCUCGCAAGAAGCAUCAACACUUUCCCACUCCCUCUUAGUCUUAUUUGUUGGGCCUUUUCAGAGUUCGCUCUCCCACUCCCUCUUUACUUAUAGUCUUCUUGUAAACAUACAGAAUGGAGCAUUUGUUGGGCCUUCUCAGAGUUCGCGUAAAGAGAGGUGUAAAUUUAGCUAUCAGAGACACCAGGAGCAGUGAUCCCUAUGUCAUUCUCAGAUUGGGAAAACAGGUAAUUAAUCUCUAUUACACAUACUAAUCUCCCUGUCAAACUAGUAAGUCUUUUAAGUUCCACAUUUUUUUAAUUUGUAGUGUAUUGUGAAUAAUGUUCUUGAUUGUUGGACCCCUCUGUUAUUGUUAUGAAGACUUGAAGAGGUUGAAGGUUCUUAAGUAUUGAUGUUACCAAUUCUUCGAGCCAUGUUUGUUAUAAGGGAAUAUAAUCCCUGACUAUUACCUUAAAAACUUAAAAUUUUAAAAGAUUAUGAUCCAUGAACUAGAUUUUAGGCGUUUUUUUGGUUCAUUUCUAUGAAAUUUUAACAAUAAUAUAGGCAUAUUUUAUGGGAUGAUAAUAGUCCUUAAACUAAGUUUAAACAAGGUGAUGAUCUGGAUAUUAUGAUCCUUGGAACAAACUUGACAGGAGCAACAUAUAAUCGGAUCUUAUAUCACUUAGAAUUCCCCUCAGGUAAACGAAAGCCCGUUUUGGGUUUGGAUAAUAUGUUGGUAGGACCACAUUUUCGGGACCAAAUACUCGGAUCCUACUUACCAAAUGGUUAAAAUUGUCGGGGUUCCCUGAUUCGUACUUGAGCAUGGAACUAAAGACGUCCACUCUGGUACACUAUUAAGUUACCAAAAAUAUUGGGUUUAAUGGUCCAAAUUUAAGGCCUCCACUUUGACACAAUGUUAGUGUUAAAUUAUUUAAUUUACAAUUUGAAAAUUGUGAACUAGUGUCACACACACACACACGUGUGUGUGUGUGUGUGUGUGUGUGUGUGUGUAUGUUUGGCGAGUUAAUCUUGAGUGCGUAUAUGAGAGUUCAGCUGAAGCUCAAUGAAAUUGUUUAAUGAAGUUAAGUGAUAUCUAUGCAAUGAGGUGUUGCAAGAAGAUCCAUUUUUUGCAGCUGAUUUGGUGUAAAAUUGAAUUCUUCUUCCUUAUGAUACUUUCAAGUCAUUGGUAUUCAUUGCAAAUAAAUCUGACCGAGUACGUAUAUGAUAUAAGUAUCGAUUUAUAUGUGAAUAUAUGCUGUGCUAACAAAGAGUUGGUUCUCAUGAUAGUGUACUUUAUGUAUAUUGCACAAAAAUGAUCGUUUCUGACACCACUGUCACAUAAUUGAAGGUAGUGUAUGACAAUGAUACAUUCUCCCUUGAUGACAAAAUGGGAGAUGCAGAUUUCUGAGAACAAAACAUGUGGACUUUGUAAGAAUGCAAUUAGAAGGUCCCCCUGAAGGAACUAUAAUCACCAGAGUAAAACCAAGCAGGGAAAAUUGCUCGUCUGAAGAGAGCAAUAUCAUCUGGACGAGGCAAUACAACUAGGCACUAGCUUUCAAAACAGUUUUGUAUAAUACAAUUUUAUAUGGAUGCAUGCAUAUUUUUGGCAAAUAUUUUGAUUCCAUGGACAGAGGAACAAGAUAUUAAUAAUUUGGACACGAUGAUAAUACACAAUGAUCCAACUAAGGGGGUGUUUGGUUGGGGGGUUAUGGGCUUGGUAAACAGGAAUGGGCUUUACAUUCCGUAACCUUAUGUUUGGAUUAGAUUUUUAAGAGAGCGGAAUGGGAACUCCUAUACCUCUGGCCAGUUAACACAAACCUGCGCAGUACCCUGGGUUACGAAAAUUGAAUCCCAGUCACUCGAAUAUCCCAGUCUUCUCCUUCAUUUCUUCGUUUCUCUCAUCUUUCUUCCAGUCUGUCGAUCUCGUCUCUCAGCCUCUCGCCUCUCUCGCUCUCUCACGGUCUCUCCUCUCACUCUCUCCCAAUAUCUCUCUCCACUCUUCAUUUGCUCGAUAGUCAAGGCAAGAUCCAAGGUAAUUUAUUUCACAAAACUCUCAUCAUAUCUAUAAUCUCGUCACGAAUAUAUGCAUAUAUUGUGUACAUUGGCUCACCAUUUAUGCAAUUUAUGGGUCUGCUGUGCUGUGUGUUUAAAAUCUGCUUAUACAUGAAAAUUGGUAUCAAGGUGUUUGAUUAAAUGUCUAAGUGAGAACGUUAUAACUGAAUUGAACAAGUUAUGCUCGUCAAUGUUUUAAUUUGAGUUAAACCAUUUUAUAAUGUGCAUUCACUGAUUAAAAUAUCACUUUUGUUAUGUGGGUCAUUGUCGAAUUGUGCUUGACAAACUUAUUAAAUGCUAAUAUGUCUUUUCCUGACUUUUUACAUAUAGUAUGAACACAGGAAGAGGGCAGAAUAAGAGAAAUUGGAGUGACGAGGAGGAUCGCGCUCUCGUUGAAACCCUUCAAGAAGUAGCUAUUGAUAUCAACUGGAAGAGUGAGAAGGGAUGGAGGGAUGGUUACUUGGUUCGGGUUGAAGAGUUGAUGGCUAUGAAAGUUCCCAUGGCAGGUCUAAAAGCAAAUCCUCACAUUGAGUCAAGGUGGAAAUAUCUAAAGCGAAAGUAUCACGCAAUAGCCGAUAUGCGAGCUAGUUCUGGAUUUGGUUGGGAUGAGAAUACAAAAAAAAUUCAAUGUGACAAAAGCGUGUAUGACGAAUGGUGUGAGGUACAUAUUUGCUUUUCUUUGUUUAUGGUUGCGUAUCUUUAGUGCAUUCAUAUGAAUCCAAUAUGUAAUGGCUGGUUGGGUGACAUGAAUACAGUAGAAUAAGAACAAUGUGGUAUCUGCUGAAUUUAGAUAAAGAAGUAGCAGUUAAUUAGAAGAUGAAGAUAAAUUAAUCGUUUAAUGCUCUAUAAUUAAUCUGGGUUGUAUUCGUUCCUGAUUAAUAUUAGAAUAUAAAGAUCAAGCAUAUAGUAAAAUUUAGACUUAUUCUAGUGAUCAAGUAAUGAUGUGUGGUAGUACUUCUAUUUCUCUGCAUCUUUUUUGAUUUUAUUUCAAGGAUGCUCUAUGUUACUGAGUUUUGCUAUUUACUUUUUUGAAGAGUUAUCCGUGGUGAUAGAACAGGAAAUUGUUAUAUUGAAAUUAUAUAUGUUGAUAUUAAAGUAAAUUUGUACUUCAACUAGUGGAGACAAACUUAUUGACAUCUUAUUGUUAUGGUUUAUUUGUUUUAAAUCUAAGCUAUUCAGAAAGCCAUAACAAGUGUAUUUGGAUUAGAAAUUUAAAAAAGGACCUAUAGGUUUUAGCACAUGACACCACACAUGCUUAAUUACUCUGUAAUCUCUGCUGCCGCAUAGGGUUACUUUGAAGAAAUGAGAUUUUGUCCGUGUACAAAAAACGCGUAUAACUACCAAGUACCGGUACAGUCCACUUGCAUGAAUGCGUUAAUAAGAAUGAAAAAGGGGGCACUACAUCUUUCGGAAAGAGAUUCGGUUCAUGGUAUCUUAGAUUUCUUGUCUGUAUAGCAGAUAUUUUGAUGUACAAAGCAAAGGUGGUUUCGUGGCCACAAGUGCAUCAACCUUUACGCAUUCAUCUGAACCAAAUAGCUGGGCCGCAACUUGGUAGCAUACAAUUUUAGAACCAUUUAAUAGCAGUGCUCCUUUCCACAUUUUAACUUGUUGUAAGAAUCAUGAGAUUCAAGAGAUAUCACCGUAGAUUCUAGUCCUCCUUUACCUCCCGACUGAUACAUGAGUGUAAAGGGUCGAAUAAUAUAUGAUCUUGAUAAACCUUUUCUCUAACAUCUUAAAAUAGUUUGACUUCUAUAAAUCCAAAUAUGGUUGAUUAUUAAAUUACAAAAUAUACACCGCUGCCCUUCUUGCCACCCCCUUGAGAUAAAUAUAAGCCGCAACCGAACCUUGAGAAAUUGAAUAAUAUUCAGUGUUUUCCCAUAACACUGAAUUAGGUCUUCAUAGAGCCCAAGAAAAUAUUUCUGCUUCAUGAUUGAAUUCAGUUGCUUCUACUUCAUUUCUAAUGUCACGGUCAUUCCUAACGGAGGGAGGGCUUACUAUUGCAGAUUAAACAUAAAUAGAUACUUUCUUCCUAAUGUAUUUUAUGGAUUUAUCUUGUCAGAGCUAUCUUAAUGAUCAGAAGCUUGAAAUUUGAGAUGGAACAGAGUAUUCAGUAUAAUAACUUCUCUUUUAAAGUAACUAAACCGCAUUGCUUGCAGCUAGAUCGGACUAAACGACCCAAAAUUUUCAAGUGUUUGUUAAAACCUCAACAGUCAACUUCCAGGCCAGGCUGAAAUUUCGAACCCUGUGCAUCUCUACUUGCACCAGAGAGUGAAUUGCCAUUCUCUCGUUUAACCAAGUUUGAGGUGGAUUGCUAUAGACCUUUCUGAGGACAUUCGUAACAACCUGGUUUUGAGAAAUUAUUUGUCAUGUUUUAAUUUUUUAUGAUUAAAUUUAUACCAAAGUGUUAGAAUAAAAUUACAAAUGGAUCUAAAAUUUAUGAUUAUACCUGUUACUAAGCAGUUUACUCCUGGGACUUAUUUGACUCCAUUUGUCACAAUGCUGUUUAAAUUUCUUGUUUGCUGUCCAUUUCUAUUUCAAAUAAUCCUCGAUCUGACAUAAUUGUAUAUGCACGAGUAGUUAAUAAUGGCAAUGUUCAUUCCAUGUUUGUUUAUUUACUCAGUUUUAUAUCAAUUAUUUCUGCUUCAUAUUGAUUAAUGUAUUUAUGUUUGGAAUUUUCAGAGUCAUAAGGAUGCUAGAGGUAUGUGGGGUGUUUCGUUUCCGCAUUUUCAUGCCCUUGCAGAGUUGAUGGGGAAUGAUCGAGCAACGGGUAGUAAUGCUGAAAAUUUUGCAGAAGCAAUAGAGAAUAUGGGAAAUGAAACAAAUGACUCGAUGUUUAGUGCUUCUACAGAAGAAGCUGAUUCUGUUUCCAAGCCUGGUAAAAGGAAGCGAUCAAAGGACAGCACUGAAAAAAAUUUAAUUUCCAUGUUUGAUGAUGAAUUAGGUUCAUUUAUGGAGAAUAUCGAUAAGCAUCUUGGCAAGUUAGUUGCGAGCGAGAGUGAUGACAUGGCUGCUAAAGUGAUGGAGGCAUUGAGACAGAUGGAAGGAUUAUCCGGUGGUCAAGUGCUACUAGCUGCUGAAAUUCUUAUGGCCGAGCCGCCCAAAUUAAAGGUUUUUUACCAUGCCGAUGCAGAGUUGAGAAAAUAAUAUAUUUAUCGUCUUCUAUUAGCUAAAAGUAAGUGAUAAGUGUUUACAAGACAAGAACACGUAGUAGUAUAAAAUUGUUUGUUUUGCUACCAGUCAGAUUUAUGUUUAAAAUAGACCUUGUUAUUAUGGGGUGAAUCUUUUUUAUUCGGAAGAAAUCUUGGAUGCAUGAGAGUUUUAUCGAUAAAAUUGUUUGUUUUGCUCCUAGCCAGAUUUGUUUCAUAUAUAAAUUUUAUUAUUUAUAAAUAAUUAAAAUAUCACUUUGUUAUGUGGGUCAUUGUCGAAUUAUUUGUUCAGUUAUUAUUAAUAUUUAAGAUAAAUAAGUUUAUUUUAAAUAUUAUAUUCAAUGAUUAUUUAAUAGAACUUUUCAAUUUUAAUAAUAAAAAAUAAUUUUCAUUCCCAUUCCCAUUCUAGAGUAAUCCAAAGAGCUUCAUUUAGUGAACAUAUUCCGAUUCCAGAACAAUCCAAACAAACUUGGUAACCCCAUUCCCAAACGAUUCCCUUGAUUCCCAUUCCCAUCAGCAAUCCAAACAGCCCUAAAUGAGAUGCAACUGUGGUUUACUGUGAUUUACCAAUUUAUACUAAGCCAUAUAUGAAAAAUAAAUUGAAGAAAUUGGUACAUAACAAUAAAUAGUCAACUCAAAGUUCAUUAAAAAUAACAUUUCAAUCAAAUUACAAUUGAAGAUAAAAAUUGAACAAUAUACUUCCUAAAGAAAAUAAAAAUCUCCGACCGGGAUCGUGAAAUCAAAUAACUCGCUACAGUCCACUUUUGCGUAGCCACCAAGUCCCCAAUUUUCUCCAUAAGAAUUUCUUAUGAUAAAAUAAUUUUCUCAUAAAUUCACGCCCACAACUACGACACUGUGAUAUUCAAUAAAUUCAUCAUAACCGUACCUUUCACGAUAAAUGUCCUGGAAUGCAUAAAAAUAAAAGGUGUCAAAUCAACGAUAAAGACAAUCACUUAAUCUAAGUCGGUUCAAAUUUCUUUUUGCAAUUUGAUGAAUUCAAUUUUUUCGGUUUGAAAUUGAAAAAAUAAAUUUCUAAAAUUGAAGGGGCAGAAUAACUGGUGUAUUAUAGUAUUUUGAGAAAAACAAAAAUAUUUAAAAUUAAACUACUAGUUAUAAUAAACCAAAAUGUAAUUCGAUGUAAAUAUCACCUUUCCUGUCACAUGAGUGAGAUUUUGAAUAAAGAGUGAAUGAUAUCAUCUUUGCGGUUCCGGUCCGGAUCAGUAAAGAGUGAAUGAUAUCAUCUUUGCGGUUCCGGUCCGGAUCAGUCCAAUUUUCCAAACUCCGGUGACUUGAAAUUCCAAUUCGGGGACCCUGGAUGGUUAUAAAAAAUAAAUAUUGUUGUAAGUAAAUUUAUAAUUUAUCAAAAAUAAAAUUAUUUAACAGUUAUGUUUUACAAAAUCUCAAUAAAUUAUAUUAUUUAAACAAGUCAAAUCAAAUUCUUAAGAAAUAUAUUUUUUUUAUAUCAAGCAAAAAAAAUUAUAUAUACUAGAAAACUCAAACUUAUUAAUUUAAAUUAAAUUAUAUAUAAUAAAUAAAUAAGAAUUUGUGUAAUGUUACCGUAGCAGGUGGAAUAUGUCUGGUGUCUCUCCAGCAAGCCAGAAAGGGGUUGCGACUCGCCAAAAGCAACCCUGAACCAGCGCAAGCGCAGUAGUCAUAACCCCAUUCAGGUCUGCCCAUUUAGCAUAGCACUUUUUUCUCUGGAGAAUGAAAACCGGGACUAUAUUUCCGAAAAUUGUCCACAAUAUCUUGUGUAGAGAGAGUGACUAUAUACUCACUCUUGAAAUGUAAAGAAUUGGAUGGGAUAUCCCAUAAAAAAGUUUAAAAAAAUGACUGGGAUAUACUCCCUCAGUUCUCCUCAAUGUAAACAUUGACUUUACAUUGAGGGGUGCAUGAAAACUAAGAAAAAAUGUAAUUUAUUAGAUAAAAGUAGGAAAAGUAAGUAAAGUGGUGGGACCGGUCAAUGAUUAAUGUAUAAAGUAAAUAUAAAAUUGAGAUAGAGGGUGAAGUAGAUGAUGUGAUUGAAUUUUAUAUAAUAAAAUAUUACUAUUUUUCGUAUGUAAAAAGAUGAGAGGGACCGUCCAAAUAAAUAAGAAUUUGUGUAAUGUUACGGUAACAGGUGGAAUAUGCGUGGUGUCUCUCCAGCAAGCCAGAAAGGGGUUGCGACUCGCCAAAGGCAACCCUGAAAAAGUGGAGUAGUGAUAACCCUAUUCAGGUCUGCCAUGUACCGUUGCAUUUUUUUCUCUGAAGGAUGAAAAGAUUCGUUCGAACGAAUAUUUUACUUUUACCGUCAUUUUGCAUGGUAAUUAAUAUUCUUUCACUGUUGUUUACUGUGAUUUACCAAUUUAUACUAAGCUAUAUAUGAAAAAUAAAUUGAAGAAAUUGGUACAUAACAAUAAAUAUGCAACUAAAAGUUCAUUAAAAAUAACAUUUCAAUCAAAUUACAAUUUAAGAUAAAAAUUGAACAAUAAAGAUCUCCGACAGGGACCGUGAAAUCAAAUAACUCGCUACAGUCCACUUUUGUGUAGCCACCAAGUCCCCAAUUUUCUCCAUAAGAAUUUCUUAUGAUAAAAUAAUUUUCUCAUAAAUUCACGCCCACAACUACGACACUGUGAUAUUCAAUAAAUUCAUCAUAACCGUACCGUUCACGAUAAAUGUCCUGGAAUGCAUAAAAAUAAAGGUGUCAAAUCAACGAUAAAGAUAAUCACUUAAUCUAAGUCGGUUCAAAUUUCUUUUUGCAAUUUGAUAGAUUCAUUUUUUUCGGUUUGAAAUUGAAAAAAUAUAUUUCUAAAAUUGAAGGGGCAGAAUAACUGGUGUGUUAUAGUAUUUUGAGAAAAACAAAAAUAUUUAAAAUUGAACAACUAGUUAUAAUAAACCAAAAUGUAACUCGAUGUAAAUAUCACCUGUCCUGUCACAUGAGUGAGAUUUUGAAAUCUCACUGUUGCCCUGAUAGCAGCUGCAAGCGGUUGUCUCAAUAAAGAGUGAAUGAUAUCAUCCUUGCGGUUCCGGUCCGGAUCAGUCCAAUUUCCCAAACUCCGGUGACUUGGAAUUCCAAUUCGGGGACCCUGGAUGGUUAUAAAAAAUAAAUAUUAUUAUAAGUAAAUUUAUAAUUUAUCAAAAAUAAAAUUAUUUAACAGUUAUGUUUUACAAAAUCUCAAUAAAUUAUAUUAUUGAAACAAGUCAAAUCGGAUUCUUAAGAAAUAUUUUUUUUUUAUAUCAAGAAAAAAAAAUUAUAUACUAGAAAACUCAAACUUAUUAAUUUAAAUUAAAUUAAAUUAUAUAUAAUAAAUAAAUAAGAAUUUGUGUAAUGUUACCGUAGCAGGUGGAAUAUGCCUGGGGUCUCUCCAGCAAGCCAGAAAGGGGGUGCGACUCGCCAAAGGCAACCCUGAAAAAGUGGAGUAGUGAUAACCCUAUUCAGGUCUGUCAUGUACCGUUGCAUUUUUUUCUCUGAAGGAUGAAAAGAUUCGUUCGAACGAAUCUUUUACUUUUACCGUCAUUUUGCAUGGUAAUUGAUAUUCUUUCACUGUUGUUUACUGUGAUUUAUCAAUUUAUACUAAGCUAUAUAUGAAAAAUAAAUUGAAGAAAUUGGUACAUAACAAUAAAUAGUCAACUCAAAGUUCAUUAAAAAUAACAUUUCAAUCAAAUUACAAUUUAAGAUAAAAAUUGAACAAUAAAGAUCUCCAACAGGGACCGUGAAAUCAAAUAACUCGCUACAGUCCACUUUUGCGUAGCCACCAAGUCCCCAAUUUUCUCCAUAAGAAUUUCUUAUGAUAAAAUAAUUUUCUCAUAAAUUCACGCCCACAACUACGACACUGUGAUAUUCAAUAAAUUCAUCAUAACCGUACCUUUCACGAUAAAUGUCCUGGAAUGCAUAAAAAUAAAGGUGUCAAAUCAACGAUAAAGAUAAUCACUUAAUCUAAGUCGGUUCAAAUUUCUUUUUGCAAUUUGAUAGAUUCAUUUUUUUCAGUUUGAAAUUGAAAAAAUAUAUUUCUAAAAUUGAAGGGCAGAAUAACUGGUGUGUUAUAGUAUUUUGAGAAAAACAAAAAUAUUUAAAAUUGAACAACUAGUUAUAAUAAACCAAAAUGUAAUUCGAUGUAAAUAUCACCGUAACAAGAUGAGAGGGACCGUCCAAAUAAAUAAGAAUUUGUGUAAUGUUACCGUAACAGGUGGAAUAUGCCUGGUGUCUCUCCAUCAUGCCAGAAAGAGGUUGCGACUCGCCAAAGGCAACCCUGAAAAAGUGGAGUAGUGAUAACCCAUUCAGGUCUGCCAUGUACCGUUGCAUUUUUUUCUCUGGAGGAUGAAAAGAUUCGUUCGAACGAAUCUUUUACUUUUACAGUCUUUUUGCGUGGUAAUUAAUAUUUUUUCACCGUUGUUUAAACUUGUUUCAGUCAACAUCUUCGGCGUGAAUUUUCAUUUCCCUUAUUCUCUCUAGCAGUUUCACCCUCCUCAAAUUUAAGAGCUCAUUUAAGACUCUCUUGGAGAUGCUCUAAGACUCCUUAAAAACAUAGUCUGAUAAAUUAGAAGUAUAUUGAUUUUUUCCCAAUAACCGAAUACUUUUGUCGGUAAAUACUGCAUAUUUGAUUCCAUCCAUAAAUAUAUUUUAUUCCUAUGAGUUUCAGUCUCAAUAAGAAUGCUAGUUCUUACUGUUCAUCUAUUAUGAUAUUAAUAUACCACACUAAUUCGUUAUGUAUGGAUGAUGAGAUUCCAUUGAUACAGAGCUAAUUCCAAUAGACUUUUUGGAGGGUCCCAUUGGCGUGCAUCCAGUACGAAUUGAACCUACGAAUUCGCCAAUUAUGAGUUGGGCGCUUUAACUAAGACCUACUGUAAGAAAGAGAAUAAGUAAAGGAUGACAUAUAAAAUGAAAAAGGUUCAUAAGAGAAGUUUAGUGUGAUUACACUUAAAUAAAAAGCCCCCC
rnacentral:lncRNA from 1 species